UACGGGGGGGGCAAGCGUUGUUCGGAAUUACUGGGCGUAAAGGGUUCGUAGGUGGCUUGCUAAGUCAGACGUGAAAUCCCUCAGCUUAACUGGGGAACUGCGUCUGAUACUGGCGGGCUUGAAUCCGGGAGAGGGAUGCGGAAUUCCAGGUGUAGCGGUGAAAUGCGUAGAUAUCUGGAGGAACACCGGUGGCGAAGGCGGCAUCCUGGACCGGCAUUGACGCUGAGGCGCGAAAGCCAGGGGAGCAAACGGG
rnacentral:rRNA from 1 species